rnacentral:rRNA from 1 species
AGAGUUUGAUCCUGGCUCAGAAUCAACGCUGGCGGCGUGCCUAACACAUGCAAGUCGAACGAGAAAGUGGAGCAAUCCAUGAGUAAAGUGGCGACCGGGUGAGUAACACGUGACUAACCUACCCUCGAGUGGGGAAUAACUCCGGGAAACCGGGGCUAAUACCGCAUAAUACCGCAAGGUCAAAGGAGCAAUUCGCUUGAGGAGGGGGUCGCGGCUGAUUAGCUAGUUGGUAGGGUAACGGCCUACCAAGGCAAAGAUCAGUAUCCGGCCUGAGAGGGCGCACGGACACACUGGAACUGAAACACGGUCCAGACUCCUACGGGAGGCAGCAGUGGGGAAUUUUGCGCAAUGGGGGAAACCCUGACGCAGCAACGCCGCGUGGAGGAUGAAGUCCCUUGGGAUGUAAACUCCUUUCGAUCGGGACGAUUAUGACGGUACCGGAAGAAGAAGCACCGGCUAACUCUGUGCCAGCAGCCGCGGUAAUACAGAGGGUGCAAGCGUUGUUCGGAAUUAUUGGGCGUAAAGGGCGCGUAGGCGGUGCGGUAAGUCUGCAGUGAAAUCUCUGGGCUCAACUCAGAGUCUGCUGUGGAAACUGCCGUGCUUGAGUGUGGGAG